CUACGGGAGGCAGCAGUGGGGAAUUUUGGACAAUGGGGGCAACCCUGAUCCAGCCAUGCCGCGUGAGUGAAGAAGGCCUUCGGGUUGUAAAGCUCUUUCGGACGGAACGAAAUGGUUACGGUCAAUACCCGUGACUGAUGACGGUACCGUAAGAAGAAGCACCGGCUAACCACGUGCCAGCAGCCGCGGUAAUACGUAGGGUGCGAGCGUUAAUCGGAAUUACUGGGCGUAAAGCGUGCGCAGGCGGUUUCGUAAGCUGGAGGUGAAAUCCCCGGGCUCAACCUGGGGAUGGCCUUCAGGACUGCGAGGCUAGAGUGCGGCAGAGGGAGGUGGAAUUCCACGUGUAGCAGUGAAAUGCGUAGAUAUGUGGAGGAACACCGAUGGCGAAGGCAGCCUCCUGGGCCAGCACUGACGCUCAUGCACGAAAGCGUGGGGAGCAAACAGGAUUAGAUACCCGGGUAGUCCC
rnacentral:rRNA from 1 species